rnacentral:rRNA from 1 species
UACGUAGGGUGCGAGCGUUGUCCGGAUUUAUUGGGCGUAAAGAGCUCGUAGGCGGUUUGUCGCGUCGGCCGUGAAAUCUCCACGCUUAACGUGGAGCGUGCGGUCGAUACGGGCAGACUUGAGUUCGGUAGGGGAGACUGGAAUUCCUGGUGUAGCGGUGAAAUGCGCAGAUAUCGGGAAGAACACCUAUGGCGAAGGCAGCUCUCUGGGACGGUACUGACGCUGAGACGCGAAAGCGUGGGGAGCGAACAGG